GAUGAACGCUAGCGGGAGGCUUAACACAUGCAAGUCGAGGGGUAUUGUAGCAAUACAUUAGACCGGCGCACGGGUGAGUAACGCGUAUGCAACCUGCCGUUAACCGGGGGAUAGCCCAUCGAAAGGCGGAUUAAUACCCCAUAAUAUUGGGAUUCUGCAUGGGAUUUCAAUUAAAGCUGAGGUGGUUAACGAUGGGCAUGCGUGACAUUAGCUAGUUGGUAGGGUAACGGCCUACCAAGGCUACGAUGUCUAGGGGUUCUGAGAGGAAGGUCCCCCACACUGGUACUGAGACACGGACCAGACUCCUACGGGAGGCAGCAGUGAGGAAUAUUGGUCAAUGGGCGAGAGCCUGAACCAGCCAUCCCGCGUGCAGGAAGACGGCCCUAUGGGCUGUAAACUGCUUUUGCGCAUGAAGAAUGUUACCGACGUGUCGGUAAGUGACGGUAAUGCGUCAAUAAGCAUCGGCUAACUCCGUGCCAGCCGCCGCAGUAACAC
rnacentral:rRNA from 1 species